GGAGGCUGAGCUGGCUGUGUGUUCAUCAUGAGUGCAUCUACAAGGACCACAGAACAGUAAGAACCUGUCCCUGGACAGCCAUGCAUUACACAGAGGUCUCUACAGAACAUAUGGAGUGAUGAUUGCUGUCGCACUGGUGCAUGGAGGAGUGUUGCCUUCUUUUUUUUCUGAGAGGCUCUACCAAAACCUUUGCUCUUUACCUGCAUCACCACCCACUCUCGAAGAAGUAGCAGAUCAGGAUUUGCAGUUGAAACUC